CCUACGGGAGGCAGCAGUGGGGAAUAUUGCACAAUGGGCGAAAGCCUGAUGCAGCGACGCCGCGUGAGGGAUGACGGCCUUCGGGUUGUAAACCUCUUUCAGCAGGGAAGAAGCGAGAGUGACGGUACCUGCAGAAGAAGCGCCGGCUAACUACGUGCCAGCAGCCGCGGUAAUACGUAGGGCGCAAGCGUUGUCCGGAAUUAUUGGGCGUAAAGAGCUCGUAGGCGGCUUGUCACGUCGGGUGUGAAAGCCCGGGGCUUAACCCCGGGUCUGCAUUCGAUACGGGCUAGCUAGAGUGUGGUAGGGGAGAUCGGAAUUCCUGGUGUAGCGGUGAAAUGCGCAGAUAUCAGGAGGAACACCGGUGGCGAAGGCGGAUCUCUGGGCCAUUACUGACGCUGAGGAGCGAAAGCGUGGGGAGCGAACAGGAUUAGAUACCCUGGUAGUCCACGCCGUAAACGGUGGGAACUAGGUGUUGGCGACAUUCCACGUCGUCGGUGCGCNGCUACGACAUAGUUCCCGUCCCGUCGGGAGGUACGGCCGCGACGACGUAAACGUUAAACGUAGUAAGUUAGUACGGUUCGUUGUAGACGUUGCCGACGGCGACGACGAGGGAGGAGG
rnacentral:rRNA from 1 species